rnacentral:rRNA from 1 species
CGCUGAACUUAAGCAUAUUAAUAAGCGGAGGAAAAGAAACUACCCAGGAUUCCCCUAGUAACGGCGAGUGAAGCGGGAUGAGCUCAAGCUUAAAAUCUCUGUGCCAGUUUGGCAUGGCGAAUUGUAGUCUAUAGAGGCGUUGUCAGUGCGGCUGUGCGGGGUAAGUUCCUUGGAAGAGGACAGCAUCGAGGGUGAUACUCCCGUUUGUACCUGUGCGGCUUGCGCGUACGACACGUUUUCUUCGAGUCGCGUUGUUUGGGACUGCAGCGCAAAGUAGGUGGUAAAUUCCAUCUAAAGCUAAAUAUUGGUGCGAGACCGAUAGCGAACAAGUACCGUGAGGGAAAGAUGAAAAGAACUUUGAAAAGAGAGUUAAAGAGUACCUGAAACUGCUGAAAGGGAAGCGAAUCGUAUCCAGUGUCUAUAAUCUGCGGCAUAUUUCAUUGGCGGCGGUGCGCGUGCUUUUGCGUCGGAAGCGGCUUUUGUUGCUCUGUGCUUUUGCUGUGCGUGCUGUUGCUGGUGAGGUAGGUCAGGACUUCGGUCUUGGCUGUUAUAUCUUGGUGGUUUGUUGUCGUGGUUGGGACUGAGGUGCCUACAAUGUGCUUUUGAGUGUGCCGGGUUCUCAUUUGGUGGACUGUUUGGAUAGCUUGCUAUGCUUGUGGUUUUUUCAUCGAGUGAUUGAGUCUGGUGGUAACUUAUUGCCGUUCGGGACUUUGACGAAAUGGAGCGAUUCGGCCCGUCUUGAAACACGGACCAAGGAGUCUAACAUGUGUGCAAGUGUUAGGGUGUGGAAACCCGAGCGCGUAAUGAAAGUAAAGGGUGGCUUUAGCUGCCUGAGGUAGGAAACCUUUGUUCUCAGAGGUGGCACUAUCGACCGAUCAAGAACCUUCGUGGUGAAAGAUUUGAGUAUGAGCACAUAUGUUGGUACCCGAAAGAUGGUGAACUAUGCCUGAGUAGGGUGAAGCCAGGGGAAACUCUGGUGGAAGCUCGUAGCGAUUCUGACGUGCAAAUCGAUCGUCAAACUUGGGUAUAGGGGCGAAAGACUAAUCGAACCAUCUAGUAGCUGGUUCCCUCCGAAAUUUCCCUCAGGAUAGCAGCAACUUAUUUACGAUAGUUUUAUGAGGUAAAGCGAAUGAUUAGAGGACUGGGGGAAGCAACUUCCUCCACCUAUUCUCAAACUUUAAAUCUGUAAGACCUGCAGGUUUCUUAAUUGAACUUGUGGAUGUGAAUAUCAAGUUGCUAGUGGGCCAUACGGGGUAAGCUCGUCUGGCG